UACGUAGGGGCGAGCGUUGUCCGGAAUGAUUGGGCGUAAAGGGCGCGCAGGCGGCCUGUCAAGUCAGUAGUGGAAGUCCAUUUUUUCAAGGAUGGAAGUGCUAUAGAAACUGAUGGGCUUGAGUGCAGGAGAGGUUAUCGGAAUUCCCGGUGUACGGUGAAAUGCGUAGAGAUCGGGAGGAACACCAGUGGCGAAGGCGGGUAACUGGACUGCAACUGACGCUGAGGCACGAAAGUGUGGGGAGCAAACAGGAUUAGAUACCCCCGUAGU
rnacentral:rRNA from 1 species